rnacentral:rRNA from 1 species
UCCAGACUCCUACGGGAGGCAGCAGUGGGGAAUAUUGCACAAUGGGGGAAACCCUGAUGCAGCGACGCCGCGUGAGCGAUGAAGUAUUUCGGUAUGUAAAGCUCUAUCAGCAGGGAAGAAAAUGACGGUACCUGACUAAGAAGCCCCGGCUAACUACGUGCCAGCAGCCGCGGUAAUACGUAGGUGGCGAGCGUUAUCCGGAAUGAUUGGGCGUAAAGGGUGCGCAGGCGGUCCUGCAAGUCUGGAGUGAAACGCAUGAGCUCAACUCCUGCAGGGCUCUGGAAACUGGAGGACUGGAGAGCAGGAGAGGGCGGUGGAACUCCAUGUGUAGCGGUAAAAUGCGUAGAUAUAGGGAAGAACACCAGUGGCGAAGGCGGC